CCCUUAGAUGUUCUGGGCCGCACGCGCGCUACACUGACGAAUGCAACGAGCUUAUAACCUUGGCCGAAAGGUCUGGGUAAUCUCCAAAUUUCGUCGUGAUGGGUAUAGAUUAUUGCAAUUAUUAAUCUUCAACGAGGAAUGCCUAGUAAGCGCAAGUCAUCAGCUUGCGUUGAUUACGUCCCUGCCCUUUGUACACACCGCCCGUCGCUCCUACCGAUUGAAUGGUCCGGUGAAGCGUUCGGACCGUGGCCUUUGGACGGUUCGCCGUCUGUUGGCUGCGGGAAGUUCGUUAAACCUUAUCAUUUAGAGGAAGGAGAAGUCGUAACA
rnacentral:rRNA from 1 species